ensembl:lncRNA
CAGCUGCGUCCCGCGAGCUACUUGCUGUUCUUGACGGAGGAGUCAGUCCAGGACUGGGUGCUGCGGUGACCUCCAGCUCUCUCCGUGUUCUCUUCACGGCGGUGAUGUUUCCGAGGGGUCAGGAGCAGGUGUCUGCUGGAGUCUCUCUGAACCUGGGUGUGUCCUCCCCUCCUCAAGACAAUGCUUUUGGAGGCCUGGGAAGCCAGCAAUGCCUCUCCCCAACCAACCUGUGAGCCCCAGACUCCGGCCUCCCCCUGGGGGCUGAGUCCCAUCAAAUCUGGAGGCUGUCUACACUCCUCACCCCAUCCACAGCCCGGACAGAGGGAUGGGGCCGCCAGCAGCCCCUGGGGAAGAGGAGUGCGUUGGCUCUGGGUUCAAGCCAGGUGACCACCAGACUUGAACCUUGGAGCUCACGUCUAAGAGGCAGGAACUCGGCCAUGAAUCCUGAAGACAACGGUGGGGUGAGGUCUGCCACCGGGGCCUGGCCAGUUGGCAGGCGGCUGUGGGGGACUGGUUUCUCUUUCUGCCCCCGCAUGUGUUGGUUCUGCCCCCUAGAACAAGCCCACGACCCUGACACGGUCGCGAGGUCUGUGGGACCUGCCCACCGCCCACCAGUCCCAGCUCAUGCCCUCCUGCUGGUCCUCGACACGCCUCGCCGGUUCCUGCUUCCAGGCCUUGGCACAGGCUGCUGUAGGCUGUGUGACCUUUGCCUAGAAGCUUCCAUCCUGAUCUCGGCACUGGCUCCUUCAGAAGCAGGCCUUCCUGACCACCCCAGCUCCCUGACCUGGAAGCGCGGGCGCUGGCCACUUGCUUGCUGCUCCCUGGAGAGACUGCCGGCGCCGCGAGGGCAUCGUGUCAGCGCUGCAGCCCUGUGCCCAGCACGGAAGUACCUGCUGUGUGAGUGAGGGUUUCCGAAAGCAGCCCCACAGGGCUGGCUAUUACCAGAGGCAGGAGGGGAGGCGCCAAGAUGCUGAAGGGUUUGCUCAGGGUCAUACGGCAGACGAGGCAAGCACGCGUGGUGGGCAGAGCAGGCUGCGGGGUGUUCUGGUCUCCAGGUGCUUCGGGCUUCCCAGGGCAGGACUUCCGCCCCGCCCCUGCCCUACUCAUACUCACCGGCUUGGCUCCACCGAGGAGACAGGAACUCCGGAUGCCCAGACCAGCCUUGUCCAGUAGAAACCUCACUAAAGCCACCACAUUAAACACAGGACCGACAAAUGGGUGAGAUCAGUCGCAAUAACAGUUUAUUGACUUCAUGUAUCAAAAGUGCUAUCCUUUCAGCAGGUAACAAAUGUGACACUUAC